AAGUAGCUGCAUAGACCAGAGAUCCUCAACGUUUGGCCAGAAGUUUUCAUUUGAUUCAGCAGGUAAAGGAACUGGAAAAGCCUCCAAGUUUCCAGCAUAAGAUGGUUACAGGUUUUCCAUGAUGCCAGAGCAGGAAACCACACCAAUGAGAUGGUAGGAGACGGAUUCAUUCAAUAGGAGGCCCACAUUUAACAUGGUUAACGGAGAUGAGGAUUUUGAGAUAGAUGAGUGGUAAAACUAGGAAGAAUAAAAUUAUCCUUGGUGGCGUAUCUUUUCUAAUCAAGGGAUACUCACCACUAAAUUUCUUUAUCUAAAAGUGCAUCUCCCCUUGAUGCUCAUUGCCCCGCUGAUAUGACUGACACUACCAGGUGCUUUCCAUCCUUACCCUUUAUGGAGUUUCCUACUUUGGUUUGUACAAUAGAUGAGAUUCAACAAUUAUCUUUAGAAGUAAUCUUGUGUUAAUUGCUAAAAAUUAUUUGAUGAUAGGAAAAAGUAUUGAAGUGGACUCAUGAAGCCUUCUCCAAAGUCUAAAGCUUGCUAAUUAAGGAACACGACUAGGGUGUUUUGGAAAUUUGGUGCGACUCAAAUAAGGUGCAUAACUUGGUGAUGAACUCAAACAACUAUUCAUGGCCAUUUUUUUUAGAUUUAGAAAUGUAUAAUCAUAUCAAAGUCAUUUUUUGCUUCUCUCUAUCGAAUGAAGUUAUGGUUUUGUUCAAGCAGUUGGUUUAUCAUGUUAUGCAACAAAGAAUAAGUAUUUUUUUCAAGUCGGGGAAAGACAAAUAGAAUAUGGAUGAACGGAGAAUCGUUUCACCUUAACUUAAA